rnacentral:rRNA from 1 species
UACGUAGGUGGCGAGCGUUGUCCGGAUUUCUUGGGUUUAAAGGGUGCGUAGGCGGCCCUGUCAGUCAGUGCUGAAAUAUCCCGGCUUAACUGGGAGGGUGGCAUUGAUACUGUGGGGCUAGAGUACAGAUGAGGUAGGCGGAAUUGACGGUGUAGCGGUGAAAUGCUUAGAUACAAUCAAGAACUCCGAUUGCGUAGGCAGCUAACUAGGCUGUAACUGACGCUGAGGCACGAAAGCGUGGGGAGCGAACAGG